GGGAAUAUGGCUUAGUGGUAGAGUGCUUGCCUAGCAUGUAUGAAGCCCUGAGUUCAAUUCCUCAGUACCA
rnacentral:tRNA from 1 species